CAGACCAGUUCACUCUGAGUCAUUCUGGAGAUGGAAGGUGCCUUUUAUAGCCUGCUGAGAUGCAGAGCUGAUAAGCAGACCUGUCUCAUACAACGAGGACCGCUUCGCUAGCCAUGUCCGUUGAGUUGUUUGGGCAAUGACGCGUUUACCGCAUGAGCCCUUUUCGGUCAAGAGACUCUCGCUAUGACGCAUUGAAAAAGAUGUAUGAGCCUGAGAAUGUGCGACAGCUUCUGAUUGGGCGUUUGAGCUGAGAUUUGUUUCUCGGCGAGUUCAACACAGAGGCGAGUACGACCGCCUGCGCCAAGUGUCAGUAAGUCCGUGACUGUGUGCCCGGUUGACCGCCAUGAGCUGAAAAUGCCAUGAGCCAAGAGCGAGUUUGGCCGGCUGAAAUGCCCGAGCCUGCUCCGUGCCUUGUGAGUUCUUGAGGACCGCAUGUGCAGCCGCCAGAGCAAAGAGCCAGUCAGUGAAACAUCUGCAGAGCCACCGACAGAGAUUUUCAAGGGUGAAACUCCUUUCGAGACUCCUUUCCCACAGGUGAAAUUCCUGUUUACUGUACUCACAGGGUGAAACUCCUUUGUGAAGUCUCAUAGGGUGAAAUUCCUGUAUGAGAAGCCGCCUAGAAUUUGAAGAGCCACGCUGAAAUGCCAGAGCAGCCAGUUCUAGAGCAAAGAUCUGCUUUGACAGACGCCAUACAUGGUCAAAAGAGCAAGCCAGAGCCAGAGCGAUAGCCAGAGCCAGAGCGAUAGCCAGAGCCACAGAUGCCUAAGUGUGAGCCAUAAGUCCAAAGAGCAAGAGCCACACCGGUCAGAGCCAGCGCUGAAAUGCUAGAGCCAGAACCCAUGCCACGAGCAAAGAGCCGGUAAGCCCUUCAAGGCAAUAAGUGCUGUGAGAGCAACGCCAAUGCCACUAAGUCCUUCAAGGCGAUAAGCGCAUGGUUGCCAUUCGAGCCACUAAGUCCAGAGAGCAAUAAGAGCAAUUUAUGCCUGAGCAAGAGCCAGUGAGUCCACAGAUGCAAUAAGCGCCAAACGCCAGAGCACAGACAAAGCCGAAGGAGCCAGGGCCAUAGAGCCGAGGCCAGCCAGUUGCCAAUAAGUCCAAAGAGCAGUGAGAGCCUGAGCACGAGCCACAAAGUCACACUAUUCAAGGAAUAGGCGGUGAACCUCUUUACCAGAGGACGUAACUGACCGAACCUGUUUAUCUAGUUUUCAGAGGAGUAGGUGAAAAUCCGAACCUCUUGGGUUAAUAAAUCAUGGACCAAAGAGUCCCACCCGAAAUUCGAAUCGUA
rnacentral:misc_RNA from 1 species